AGGCUGAGAUGUCGUCCUCACCAGGCUUCUAAUUGGAGCCACCUGUGGUCUGCCUUGACUCGGGGUACCACCCCCCAGUAAUGUUGCCCAGGGCUCCCUGGCAGGGGCAAGGCAGGGACAUGUGGAAGCAGUAGACUGAGGACAUGUGGGCAGUUUAUUCUUUGAUGUCCUUGGAAGAGUGGUCACAGAUUGCAUGAUCUAAGUCAACAACCAGGACAGAUAACCCUCAGGAGAAUGAAGGUCAUUUCAACUAACAUGGGAUCGCAACAUUUGAGAAACCCAGAAGAAUCGACAUGAUGGAAAUGGUGCCAAGUUCUUCUGCCUCUUGCUUUUCAACAAAAAAGAGAAAGAAAGAAGGAGAGAGAAGAGAGGGAAUCUGCUAAUAAAAUGCAUGUCUAAACACUUUCUAAUUUUCCUAGGCUUUUAAUUUUUUCCCCUCAAAAAUUCCAUACUGGAGAGGGAAAGGCAGAGUAACAGCUGACAAAAGGAAUCUUGAAUGGAUACAAGAAUUUACGUGAGCUGGUGUAAUGGGCAAGAUACUGUAGUUGGAGUUUCAAAUCCUCGCCCUGUCAGUUUCCCAUUGUGUGACCAUGAGCCAGGUUCUCAAGCGGCCCGGCUUCCUGUUUCCCCACCUGUCAAAUGACCAAAAUCGUGUAUGUCUCCCCAGCUGUUUGCCUCACAAAAUGAGGUAAUAUGUUAGUAGCUAAUACAGCAAAAUUUUGGAUUGUGAGUAACUUGUUCUGCGAGUGUUCCACAAGAUGAGCAAACAUUUCUAAUAAAUUUUCACUUGAUAAACGA